GAAUUUUGGACAAUGGGCGAAAGCCUGAUCCAGCAAUGCCGCGUGUAGGAUGAAGGCCUUCGGGUUGUAAACUGCUGGUGUACGGAACGAAAAGCGUCGGGUUAAUCCCCUGGAAUCAUGACGGUACCGUAAGGAUAAGCACCGGCAAACUACGUGCCAGCGACCGCGGUAAUACGUAGGGUGCAAGCGUUAAUCGGAAUUACUGGGCGUAAAGCGUGCGCAGGCGGUUUUGUAAGACAGAGGUGAAAUCCCCGGGCUCAACCUGGGAACUGCCUUUGUGACUGCAAGGCUAGAGUACGGCAGAGGGGGGUGGAAUUCCGCGUGUAGCAGUGAAAUGCGUAGAUAUGCGGAGGAACACCGAUGGCGAAGGCAACCCCCUGGGCCUGUACUGACGCUCAUGCACGAAAGCGUGGGGAGCAAACAGG
rnacentral:rRNA from 1 species